UACAGAGGGGGCAAGCGUUGUUCGGAAUUACUGGGCGUAAAGGGCGCGUAGGCGGCCUGCUAAGUCGAGCGUGAAAUCCCUGGGCUCAACCCAGGAACUGCGUCCGAUACUGGUUGGCUUGAAUCCGGGAGAGGGAUGUGGAAUUCCAGGUGUAGCGGUGAAAUGCGUAGAUAUCUGGAGGAACACCGGUGGCGAAGGCGACAUCCUGGACCGGUAUUGACGCUGAGGCGCGAAAGCCAGGGGAGCAAACGGG
rnacentral:rRNA from 1 species